CACGUAGGGGGCGAGCGUUGUCCGGAUUUAUUGGGCGUAAAGAGCUCGUAGGCGGUUCGGCAAGUCGGGUGUGAAAUUUCGAGGCUCAACCUCGAAACGCCACUCGAUACUGCUGUGACUGGAGUCCGGUAGAGGAGUGCGGAAUUCCUGGUGUAGCGGUGAAAUGCGUAGAUAUCGGGAGGAACAUCAGUGGCGAAGGCGGCCUUCUGGUCCAGUACUGACACUCAAGUGCGAAAGCGUGGGGAGCAAACAGG
rnacentral:rRNA from 1 species